UGGCGAGAAAGAAAAUGAGCUCCUAAACGCUUAAUCUUAUCACUGGCCGUUCAAAAUCGCAAAUAUUGAAUCGCAUCGGUUACCAGUUCUCGCGGGAGCAUGUUCGUGCGUCUUUAUAUUUGAAUUGGAAAAUCCGAUUCGUGCGCGUGUGGCGCCACUUAUAAAUGAGAAGCGCUCAAACGCUUGGCUGAAACUCGAGAGAACAAAAAAAAAGGCUGGGCAUUUUCUCUGCAAUUUUUUGGACGCAAUGAAGAAAGGGUUUACGGCGACUAUGACUCCAUUAAAUCAAUAUCUGGAGUCGGAAAGAAACCCAAAAGAUCAGAUGGUGAUAAAGCUCUUGAAAAUUCGAUCCCUCGGCUAUCGGCCAUUGCCAAUUCAGUGGUUCUCGUUGUUCCAGGAUCGGGCCAUGGGAGGAAGAUUGGUGAAGGGAGAAUUUCGAAUGGGUUAUAUAUUUUUGAUCAAGAAAAUAAAGCCUUAGUGGCUAGGCAUUUCAGUAGAUUCUUCUUCUCUCACCUGAACAACUGCAGCACCAAUCUGAGACUUAAGAUGUCCAAUAAUGUCAAGGAACCUUCUUCUUAUGCUCGGAAUCUUUUAGAAUUUUGCUCAUACAGAGCACUAGGUGUACUGACUCAAUGUCCAGAUCACUCGAGUGAUAAGGAUUUCAGGUGCUUGACAUUUGAUAUGAUGCUUGCUUGGGAAGACCCUGGUAUUGGCAGUGAAUCUUUAAUCAAAGUGAGAUAAACAAUUGUUGUCGCAAUGAAUACUCAUCAGCUUGUACAAGUUGCACUUCUUUGUAUUUCACUCCCUUUCUUCUUAUUAAUGAAAUAAUCUUGGUACUGCUACUACUGAUGGCCUCAUUUUAAGGGUUCUCUUAGAAAUGUAUAUGGUAGCACACAGAGGUUAUGCCUAGUACAUUGUACAUUGUAGUUUAUCUAGAAUGUUCUAGAAAAUCUAUGCCUUGAAAUUGGACUGUAGUGAAUUCACUUGUUCAUUUAUAGCUGUUCCUUGGCUGGGGAGUUUGCUGUAGCCAUUGGCAUAUCUCAAGUAUUACAGAGGCUUUUUUGUGUUUAUUUAGAAAGACGCUAGUUGUGGGUCCAAUUUAAGUUUUGCAAGGGAAUUUAUCAAAUGCAAAGCCAAAAAGUAUAGCAGUUCAGUUAUAGGCAUGAUAUGUUAGGGCUGUGUACAUGAUUUCUAGUGAUGAAUAUCUGUUUGUGCACUAUAGAGCAAUUAAAUAAGCAAAGAGCUUAUCAGGGUCUCCAUUUGCUUCGAGCCUUCCACUUGAAGAGGGAGAAAUCAUCGUAGAUGUUGAUGCCAAUGUUCCUAUUCAAUCAGUACUUCAACACGUAGGAAUAUCUGCAUGGCCUGGUGAGCAUUCUUUAAUGUGAGACCCUUCUAUUCUGAAAUACCACACUUCACUUGGUCAGAUUGCUUUUUGCCUCCCUGAUGUUAUGUUCUAAGGCAAUAGCUUUUCUUUCUGCUUAUCUGUUGGAUAACGUAAGAAGCUCUAUUUGUGGCAUGGCGCUUAACAUUGACUAAUCACCCAUUAUACUUUUGAGUCAUUGGGAGUAGGCUUCUAUGAUAAACCUGUUAAAUAUGAUUUAUCAGAAAGACUUGAAACAAGUGAUAAAGCCGGAUUUGACUGGACCAUUGGGUGCACGGCUCUUUGAUAAGGCUGUGAUAUAUAAGUCAACAUCUGUGUAUGUUUGUACUUUUUAUUAUACAUAUGGUUUUUCCUCUCUAUCGUACAUUUUAAAAAAUGGGUCUCUCCACUUUGUCAAUGCAUGGGGAUCUUGAAACAAUCUCUAACAAAAACAUUCUACAGAACAGAGCCUGUUUUGAUGGAAUUCCCUGAAUUUAAAGGUCAUUCACGAUGUGACUACUGGUUGGAAAUUAUUUGAGAGGUAUUGCAUGUGAAUAGAUUUAUAAGGAAGUUCCAUCUUGAAGAUAUUCCACAUGCAGAGGCACUCUCCAAGGCAAUAUUAGUCAUUUUUUGCUUUCGUGCAGUGAAGGAAGCUUUCCAUAUCUGGCCAUCCCGUUUCAAAACACCUCUUACUGUUUCAACUUAGCUGAAAAACUUCCACGAGGGGAUAAAAUUUUGGAAGCCCUAUCAAAUCACCUGGAGCUGCUUAGUACUGGAAGAUCUGAUGAUAAGAAGGAAACAUUAGAGAAUGCCACAAAGCAUUCUUCUGGUUCGUAUAAGGCAUCAUCUUUGUCAACACUAGCAAAACAUGGCUUUGCAUUAAUUAAGGAGAUGGACACUCUUGAAAAGGCAUCAUUUUUGGAUGGAAACAUCAUGGUUGGUGAGACUGAUACUCUUGAAUAGGCAGUGAGAAAGUCAAAAUAUGAUUUAGGAAGAGCUCAGGCAGCACACGAAACUGUAAACCAAGUGCAAGUGGAGGGGAUCGAUACUAAUUUGGCCGUAAUGAUGGUAUGUAGUGGUAUGUUCACCAGUUGCUUUUGUAAUUUCAGUUUAUCCCCUGUAAUAUAGCUGAAUCAGAAAGUGAUUCAGCUGGUUAGGCAAGUGGGAUUUUUCUUUGUUUAUUUGUGUGCAUUUUUGGGGAUUUCUUAAUUUAAACAAGAAAAGUAGACAAAGAGUCAGCUAGUCUGGUAGGCAAAACGCAAAAUACAAGAAUGUAGGAUGGGCUUUUUUUGGUUAGUCUAGCCGGGGAAAGGACAUUACCCUUCCAGUUCAACACUUUGGCAUGCCAUGACUAAAUUGGGUUAUGGUUCCGUUGAAUCUGGUUGCACCUGCCAAAUUGGCUAUUUUUUACUAAUGCCUGCAUGAUUGUAUGUCAAAUUGGCAAAUGGUAAAUCUAUUUAGGUAAAUUUGAAUACUAAAAGAACACCAACAAUUGUGACUGUUUUCUGAGGAUGAUGUAAGGUGCAUCUUCCCCAUCUUAGGCAAUUUUUUAGCUUGUCUGCAUACAAAUAUUUUUCUGACAAAACUAUGCUUCUUGCAAUUUUUCCCUAAUCAUUUCUUGUACAUUUUUUUCAUUGGUAUUUGAUUGGGAAUAUUUAGUAGGUAAUCUAAUUCGAAAGUGAAACUCUUCCUUUAAGAAAUACUUUAUCUUUAUCUGAACUUAAAGAGUAAAUAUUUUGGAUGUAAAUGGUGAUUCUCUCAUAUUUUUGGAUUAUUAACUUUAUUUCAAACCAAAUACGUGAUCCCCAAUUUUAAGGAUUUUGUUUUUGGAAAAAGAAUUAUGCUUUUUUAGCCCUUUGAGAUGUAAUCAUAGUUUUGUAAACCUCUUGCUAGUAAGUUUUUUAUGCACUCAUCUAUACCACCGCUGGAUGAUGUCAACACAUUGACUCUCUCUCUCUCUCUCCUUCCUCUCUCUCUCUCCCUCUGUCUCUCUCAUGCAAGGGUUUAUGCAUGCGUCCUUAUGCAUACUAAGACUUAUACAAUACGCACGCCGAAUGCUGACAUUGAAUGUAUCGAAAUCCUUGGAUUUGUUAUCUAUUUUGCUAAAACAUUUGCAAUUUCGUUUGAUUCUUGGGUCCCAGAAUCAGAAUUAUGCAUAAUGAUUCGAAGAAUGAUUCCUCUCUAUUUCUAUAUUUUGGCAAUUCUCUCACUACUUGAAAGUAGGUAUUUCUAUAGGUUAUAACAUGGCACAUGGAACACAAAGACUUGCACUUUGACCCAUAUCUCUGGCUUACGGGGGAUGGAUAAAGUACUUCAUGCCUUGCAUUUUCAUUAUCCUUGCUUGUCUAAUACUCUGGCAUAAGCAUUGGAACAAAAGGAAGCAAUUGGAAGUUUUCAAGGUUACACCUCCUCCUGCUCGGAACCCUGUAGAACAGCCUCUAUUGUUGCAGGAGACCAUCUCUCAAUUUGAAACUCUUGUCCAAGAAGGGAACAUCGUGCUCCUCAAAUUAAGAGUUCUCUUGUUCGCACUUCUUCCAAGGGUAUGGACCUCGCCUGUUCUUCAUAAUCUCUCCCCUUUAUAUUUUCUUCUGUGUGAAUGAGCUGUUCCUUGGUUAUUUUUUAAGGAAUACUUGACACUUAUUCUUUUUGAUCUCUCUGUUAUUGAUUCAUGAUUUUUUUUCAGCUGGCUUUCAUCGUAUUCUAAAGAUACAGCUAUUCUUGACCUGAAUUUGAAAGUGGAACAAAAAGAUCUCUCUCUCUCUCUCCAUUGGCUGAUACAGCUAUUCUCCACUUGAAUUUGAAAGUGGAACAAAAAGAUCUCUUUCUCUCUCUCCAUUGGCUGCUACCAUGGGUAAUAAAAAUGUGUUUCUUAUGCUCACUGGUAAAUGCGCACUGGGUUGAGGAAAUAAUCAAUUAUCAUUUAGAGUUAUCUUCAUGGAUAAAAAUGUGUAUCUUAUGCUCACUGGUGAAUGCGCACUGGGUUGAGGAAAUAGUCAAUUAUCAUUUAGAGAUACCGUCAUGGUUUUAUGCGGAAGUUGAAGAAUCACAUAGCAAUAUACAUUACAAUGAAUAAUGUAUCAUUUGUUUGUUUGUAAGUGCUGAACUCUACAGCUACGUAACUUGCCCAUUAUGAAUGAUAUUGAUGAUGACUUUGUCAUGUGAGGCAUAAUUUAUUGUUUAAUUGUAGGCUGCUCUUGUGUUGAUCAUCCUGACGAUAGUGUUUGUGUUGGUGCCCCUGAAUUCCAUCAUUAUGCUGGUAUUUCUUGAGGUUUAUACAAGAGAAAUGCCUCUGAGGAAGGCAAGCAAUGAGAAGCUGAUCCGAAGAUUGAAGGAAUGGUGGGUUAGAAUACCUGCUGCACCUGUUCAGCUUAUUAAGCCUGAGGAUGACAAGAAAAAGAAGUAACAAAUCCUUCACAAGUGAUCCUACAAAUCUUUCUCUCACUCAGGUGUGUGUAUGCAUAUCUUAUUUUUUACCAUCAUUCCUUCUUGUAUAUCAGGUGUGUAUGCAUAUCUUAUUUUUUACCAUCAUUCCUUCUUGUAUAUCAGGUGUGUAUGCAUAUCUUAUUUUUUACCAUCAUUCCUUCUUGUAUAUCAUUGAGUUAUUGCAGCUAGUAUUAGGUGAUCAGAUUUUGGCAGUUAUAUCAGAAUUCUAAAUCCUACCCAGAAAGCAGCUUAACUGAGAUCUCUGAGUUUUAUAUACAGAGCGCACGAGGACAUCUCAUAAAUAAUAAUCCAAAAGUAGCAGAACCCCCAUGCUGCAUAUACCUGAAAUUUUUUAAUUUUUCAUGCAAGUGAUAAAAGUUGUGUUUUUCAAAAUUUUAUUUUGCUAAUUUUAACUAAUAGUUUAUAAUUAUCUUUUAUAGAAAAAAGAUGGCACGGAGCACUAUUUAUUUCCGAAAUUUCUGGAAUUUAAGAUUUAUCAUUUAAUGAGAGAAAAUUCAUGGUUAUCUUGGUCAUUCUCCUUCCAUUAUCUUCACAAGUCUUGCAAAAAACCAGAUUAUGAGGAAGAAAGCUUUUUGUUGUCAAAAUUAGUUAUAUUUAGUUGCCUUAUUGUUGAUACUGAGACAAUUAGAUAUGUCUAACUAUUAUACAUAAAGGAUAGUCAAUGCUCAUCUUUUAUUUGAACUGUGGGUGAAAAAGAGAAUGUUUUCUCACAUCCUCACCUUUGUUACUUGUACCCCUUUAGUUAACCAUAUGCGUUUGGGGACUAGUAAAUAGUAAAAUGUUAAGAUUCUAAAUAAAAAAAUUACAGUUAGUCAAGGGGAGACUGUUACUUAAAAUGAUCCAGCCUCUCUCUCUCUCUACCAUGUAGAUCUCUAGGUUAGCAAAGAUUAUAUGCUCUCGGGAGCAUAUCUUAUAUGUUCUAAUAGUUCUCUAAAUCUAAGAGUGUUUUUAGGACCUCAAUUUUGAGCAUGUAGAUCUCUAGGUUAGCAAAGAUUAUAUGCUCUCCGGAGCCUAUCUUAUAUGUUCUAAUAGUUCUCUAAAUCUAAGAGCGUUUUUAGGAUCUAAAUUUUGAGCCUUUCUAAGGCCCCAGGCUUGCGGAUAGCCUCACGAGCCUCAGAAAAGGAAAAGAAACUCUCAUUUUAGAUUUGCAUAACAAAUAUAGUUUAUUAGUAGAGACCAUCCAAUUUUUGAAUGUACAAAUAAAUUGAGCUAAAUGGCACAAGGGAUUGUGUGCAAAGAUACCAUUUAUCUUUUGUAUAUGAAGAUCACAAUCAU